rnacentral:lncRNA from 1 species
CCAACAUAUAUUUCCAAUCCUCUUCUGAGGUUCCAUCUUAGACGGCACAUAUAUGUAUGUGGUGGUUUUAUCUCAGAAUCUCUUAAGAUGGCUUGUCUGGUUUUAAUGACCCGUAUUCAUUCUUUAGAUGGGAAUAUCUAUGCUCACUUAUAUGGCCUGAUGCUUAUUAUCAUUCUGUACAUGUAUAUUCAUAAUGUCCC